rnacentral:lncRNA from 1 species
GUCCUGCUUCCAGCAGCUGAUGGUGGAGAUCUGCUCCAGCAAGAUCGCAGUUCUGCAGCCAUGAACAACAUCCCGCCUAGGGUCAUUGCUGCUACCGACUCUACCAGGAUCUGGAACCCCUCCAGCUUCCUAGUAUCUCCCACUGCCCCAGACCUUGAAGGGACUUCCAGGUGGCCUUCAGCCAAACCUACUAGCAAGACCAGUGGAGCUCAAGCUGGAGCAAGAACCAGAGGUGGAUCUUAUCUCCAGGGACCCAUCCUGCCUUCCCUCUGUCCCCAUCCAAGAGGCAGUGUGACCAAGGUGAACAUUCUCCGUCAGGGGCUUAACUACCAUGUGGACGAGGCAACGAUAGAUACAC